rnacentral:misc_RNA from 1 species
AAAGUCGUAACAAGGUCUCCGUAGGUGAACCUGCGGAGGGAUCAUUAAUGAAUGGCUUCGUCGAGGCCUUCGACCCAUAGACCCGUGGAUGACAAGCGUGCUUCGGCGCUUCGGCGCCGGCCUUAUGCAUUCGUCGGCCUGUGUCUGAAUCAAAAACAGCGAUCAAAACUUUCAACAAAGGAUCUCUUGGCUCUC